AGAGUUUGAUCCUGGCUCAGGACGAACGCUGGCGGCGUGCUUAACACAUGCAAGUCGAACGGAAAGGCCCGCAUCAUUUUUUUGGUGGGGGUGCUCGAGUGGCGAACGGGUGAGUAACACGUGGGUGAUCUGCCCUGUACUUCGGGAUAAGCUUGGGAAACUGGGUCUAAUACCGGAUAGGACCAUGGUUUAGUGUCUCAUGGUGGAAAGAUUAUUGUUUUGGUGCAGGAUGAGCUCGCGGCCUAUCAGCUUGUUGGUGGGGUAAUGGCCUACCAAGGCGUCGACGGGUAGCCGGCCUGAGAGGGUGGACGGCCACAUUGGGACUGAGAUACGGCCCAGACUCCUACGGGAGGCAGCAGUGGGGAAUAUUGCACAAUGGGCGCAAGCCUGAUGCAGCGACGCCGCGUGGGGGAUGACGGCCUUCGGGUUGUAAACUCCUUUCGUUAGGGACGAAGCCGCACCUUUUUUGGGUGUGGUGACGGUACCUUUGUUAAGAAGCACCGGCUAACUACGUGCCAGCAGCCGCGGUAAUACGUAGGGUGCGAGCGUUGUCCGGAAUUACUGGGCGUAAAGAGCUCGUAGGUGGUUUGUUGCGUCGUCUGUGAAAUUCCGGGGCUUAACUUCGGGGUGGCAGGCGAUACGGGCAUAACUAGAGUGCUGUAGGGGAGACUGGAAUUCCUGGUGUAGCGGUGGAAUGCGCAGAUAUCAGGAGGAACACCGAUGGCGAAGGCAGGUCUCUGGGCAGUAACUGACGCUGAGGAGCGAAAGCAUGGGGAGCGAACAGGAUUAGAUACCCUGGUAGUCCAUGCUGUAAACGGUGGGCGUUAGGUGUGGGGACCGGUUUGGUUUCUGUGCCGUAGCUAACGCAUUAAGCGCCCCGCCUGGGGAGUACGGCCGCAAGGCUAAAACUCAAAGGAAUUGACGGGGGCCCGCACAAGCGGCGGAGCAUGCGGAUUAAUUCGAUGCAACGCGAAGAACCUUACCAAGGCUUGACAUGUGCCGGUCUGCUCCGGAGACGGGGUUUCCUCCUUUGUGGGGGCUGGUUCACAGGUGGUGCAUGGUUGUCGUCAGCUCGUGUCGUGAGAUGUUGGGUUAAGUCCC
rnacentral:rRNA from 1 species